rnacentral:rRNA from 1 species
CCGCGUGAGUGAUGAAGGCCCUAGGGUCGUAAAGCUCCUUCGCCAGGGAUGAUAAUGACAGUACCUGGUAAAGAAACCCCGGCUAACUCCGUGCCAGCAGCCGCGGUAAUACGGAGGGGGUUAGCGUUGUUCGGAAUUACUGGGCGUAAAGCGCGCGUAGGCGGGUUGUUAAGUUAGAGGUGAAAUCCCGGGGCUCAACCCCGGAACUGCCUUUAAUACUGGCAACCUAGAGUUCGAGAGAGGUGAGUGGAAUUCCGAGUGUAGAAGUGAAAUUCGUAGAUAUUCGGAGGAACACCAGUGGCGAAGGCGGCUCACUGGCUCGAUACUGACGCUGAGGUGCGAAAGUGUGGGGAGCAAACAGGAUUAGAUACCCUGGUAGUCCACACCGUAAACGAUGAAUGCCAGUCGUCGGGUAGCAUGCUAUUCGGUGACACACCUAACGGAUUAAGC